AACGAACGCUGGCGGCAUGCCUAACACAUGCAAGUCGAACGAGACCUUCGGGUCUAGUGGCGCACGGGUGCGUAACGCGUGGGAACCUGCCCUUAGGUUCGGAAUAACUCCCCGAAAGGGGUGCUAAUACCGGAUAAUGUCUUCGGACCAAAGAUUUAUCGCCUUUGGAUGGGCCCGCGUUGGAUUAGCUAGUUGGUAGGGUAAAAGCCUACCAAGGCGACGAUCCAUAGCUGGUCUGAGAGGAUGAUCAGCCACACUGGGACUGAGACACGGCCCAGACACUCCCGCGGGGGGCAGGUGGGGGAAAUUUGGGAAAGGGGGCAAACCCGUUACCCAAAAACCCCGCGUGAGUUAAGAAGCCUUGGGGUUUAAAACGCUUUUUCCCCGGGGGUUAAAGAGACUACCCGGGGAAAAAGCGCCCGCGAACUCCCU
rnacentral:rRNA from 1 species